AACGAACGCUGGCGGCAUGCCUAACACAUGCAAGUCGAACGAGACCUUCGGGCUUAGUGGCGCACGUGUGCGUAACGCGUGGGAACCUGCCCUUAGGUUCGGUAUAACUCCCCGUAAGGGGUGCUAAUACCGCAUAAUGUCUUCCGACCAAAGAUUUCUCGCGUUUGGAUGGGCGCGCGUUGGAUUAGCUAGUUGGUAGGGUAAAAGCCUGCCAAGGAGACGAUCCAUGGCUGGUCUGAGAAGAGGAUAAGCCACACUGGGAAUGAGACACGGCCCAGAAUCGUACGGAAGGGAGCAGUGGGGAAUAUUGGACAAGGGGGGAAAGCCUGAUCCAGCAAUGCCGCGUGAGAGAUGAAGGCCGUAGGGUUGUAAAGCUGUUUUACACGGGAUGAUAAUGACAGUACCGGGAGAAUAAGCUCCGGCUAACUACGUG
rnacentral:rRNA from 1 species